ACUGCCCAAAAAAAGAUUAACAGGGGAUUUUGGGUAUUCAUGUUGAAAAAUAAGGAUUAAAUCGCAUUCCUACCUCUUUUUGAUGAAAACUUCGCGACUUUUAUCACUUUUUCACAAACUUCGACUGGACAAAUGUCACCACAAUUGUUGUACUGAUACCCGACACAGCAUUUGUGUCGUUUUUUCAUGUAAAGGUAAUUUUGAUGUCUAAGAUUAAAGGUAACGUUAAGUGGUUUAAUGAAUCCAAAGGAUUCGGUUUCAUUACUCCGGAAGAUGGCAGCAAAGACGUGUUCGUACACUUCUCUGCGAUCCAGAGCAAUGGUUUCAAAACUCUGGCUGAAGGUCAGCGUGUAGAGUUCGAAAUCACUAACGGUGCCAAAGGCCCUUCUGCUGCUAACGUAAUCGCUAUCUGAUUCGUAGUCAUGCAAGCAUACAAAACCCGCUUAAGAGCGGGUUUUUUUUG
rnacentral:sRNA from 1 species